rnacentral:rRNA from 11 species
ACUGAGUAUGAGUAUGCCUUAAAGACAAGGGAUCCUGUCAGAUCCUGGAUGCUAAGCAAGGUCAGUCCUGGUUAGCACUUGGAUGGGAGACCGCCAAUGAAUCCGAGGUGCGAUAAGCU